UACGUAGGGCGCAAGCGUUUGUCCGGAUUUAUUGGGCGUAAAGAGCUCGUAGGCGGUCCGUCACGUCGGCUGUGAAAAACCCGAGGCUCAACCUCGGGCCUGCAGUCGAUACGGGGCAGACUAGAGUGCGGUAGGGGGAGACUGGGAAUUCCUGGUGUAGCGGUGAAAUGCGCAGAUAUCAGGAGGAACACCGGUGGCGAAGGCGGGGUCUCUGGGGCCGUAACUGA
rnacentral:rRNA from 1 species